UCUAGAGAUUACUCCUACGGGAGGCAGCAGUGGGGAAUAUUGCACAAUGGGGGAAACCCUGAUGCAGCCAUGCCGCGUGUGUGAAGAAGGCCUUCGGGUUGUAAAGCACUUUCAGCGAGGAGGAAAGGUCAGUAGCUAAUAUCUGCUGACUGUGACGUUACUCGCAGAAGAAGCACCGGCUAACUCCGUGCCAGCAGCCGCGGUAAUAAUCGUCGAC
rnacentral:rRNA from 1 species